UUAGUGAGGCUUUCGGACUGGCUCAGGGUGCGCGGCAACGCCUGCCCAGAGCCGGAAAGUUGUUCAAACUUGGUCAUUUAGAGGAAGUAAAAGUCGUAACAAGGUUUCCGUAGGUGAACCUGCGGAAGGAUCAUUACAAGUGAGGCUACCGAACGUUGKAAACAGCGGUUAGGAGCUUACACCCACCCGUGUUUACAUACUAUUGUUGCUUUGGCGGGCCGUGGCCUCCACUGCGGGCUCUGCUCGUGUGUGCCCGCCAGAGGACCAAACUCUGAAUGUUAGUGAUGUCUGAGUACUAUCUAAUAGUUAAAACUUUCAACAACGGAUCUCUUGGUUCUGGCAUCGAUGAAGAACGCAGCGAAAUGCGAUAAGUAAUGUGAAUUGCAGAAUUCAGUGAAUCAUCGAAUCUUUGAACGCACAUUGCGCCCUGUGGUAUUCCGCAGGGCAUGCCUGUUCGAGCGUCAUUUAACCACUCACGCCUAGCGUGGUAUUGGGGCACGCGGUCUCGCGGCCCUCAAAAUUAGUGGCGGCGCCGGUGGGCUCUAAGCGUAGUACAUACUCCCGCUAUAGAGUUCCCCCGGUGGCUCGCCAGAACCCCCAAUUUUUUACAGGUUGACCUCGGAUCAGGUAGGGAUACCCGCUGAACUUAAGCAUAUCAAUAAGCGGAGGAAAAGAAACCAACAGGGAUUACCUCAGUAACGGCGAGUGAAGCGGUAACAGCUCAAAUUUGAAAGCUGCCAACAGGCCGCGUUGUAAUUUGUAGAAGCUGCUUUGGGUGUCGGCCCGGUCUAAGUUCCUUGGAACAGGACGUCAUAGAGGGUGAGAAUCCCGUAUGUGAUCGGUGCCGUUGCCCGUGUAAAGCGCUUUC
rnacentral:rRNA from 1 species